CACCUCGGACUCGCCCGGAGCUCCGCCCUUCCCUUAGCCCACCUGGACGGAAAGGAAACGGACGGGCAGCUCGGGCCACGCCUCUCACUGUGGGCCCCGCGACAUUUCCGGGCUGGGAGAAGCCGAAGCCCGUAACCUCCAGUUCCCCGCAGCUUGAGGCCACCAGCGCCUGGAGAUUUUCAAACACACUCAAAGAGCUGGGAGGAGCCUGGCGGGGCCACGAAGGAGGGCAGUACUGACUCAUCACGAACCUCCAGGGCCCGGAGCCAGGGCGGCCUGGGCCCAGAGCCUCAGUCCCCUGCAGCCAGGUCAGCAGGAAACUGUCCCCCAAGCCCUCCUGCGCCAAAGAGAGGGCCUUUGGAAGGUGCUUGGAUGGUGGGGGCCACAGCCCAGUGUGCUGUUAGGAGGUGGGAACAAGGCCCCACUGGGGGCCUCCCUCCCCCGCUCCUCCCUUCCCACUCUGCUUCUGGCCUCGAGAGCUCCUUUGCCUCCGCCCUGCCCCUGUGCCAGCCUCCUUCUCCCUGGAGACCCGCAGCGCAAACCCCUGGCUGAAACCGUGAACCAAAAUAAGCCUCCCCUCCUUUAAGCAUGGGAUAUUGUGUCCCAGUGACCAGGACAGUGACUGAGGAACCCAAAGGGACAUCUGGUGACAUCUGAAUCAGUGAGCACUUUAGUCACUGGUACUGAACCUGUCUUUUUGCUGAGGUGCUGACGGUGGGCAGGCGCUGUACCCUCAGCCACAUCCGCAGCCGCACAACCAGGAUCGCCUCGUGUUUACAAAUGUACGGCGGCUGUGCCAACAGUAGGGGGAGCUGGCGGGCGAAUACAUGGGAACUCUAUUUUCAAUCUGUCAAUCUAAUAUCAUCCUUCCCCCAGAGCUUAUUAACAGUCAGAGCUGGGAAGGCAGAGGAGUGGAAAGAAAAAGGCAGAAAUGGAGAGGAUGUGGAGAAAUUGGAAACCCGGGUCUUGCUGGUGGGAAUGUAAAAUAGUGCAGCUGCUAUGCAAAAUACUUUGGCAGUUUCCCAAGAAAUUACACACGAAUGGUCCAGCAUUGCGCUUCUAGGUGUAUGUCGAAAGGAACUGAAAGCAGGGACUUGCACAGAUAUUUGAACGCAAUGUACAUAGCAGCAUUAUUCACAACAGCCAAAAGAAGGAAGCAACCCAGGAACCCAUCAGCACACGGCGGAUAAAGGAAAUGUAAUAUACAUAUCAUGGAGUAUCGGCCUUCAAAAGGACUGAGAUUUUGACAUGGAGAGUUCUUAAAGACAUUAUGCUAAGUGAAAUAUGCUAAUGUGAAGGGUUACAGGAACUACUCCAAGGAGAUGCUGGGAAGUAGCCUGGGAAUGGCCAUCCCUCUCCCAUCAUUUCUCUUCCCUCAAUCCUGCUUCAGCUUCUGUCAGCCUGUGAAGGUCCUGCAGAGUGAGGUUAAGAUCGCACCUGACUGACCAUCUCAAAAAAGAACCAGAACAAUCUCCUUGUGCUUUCCCUGAGCUGGUGAAGCUGGUAAAAAUCACUGAAAAUGAGGAAAGUAAAUUAACACAAGGAAGAAGCAGGACAAGGGGGAUUCUGUCCUCCUGACUACUGAGUUAACUGCAAUGAAAACAAAGUACAAAGGACUGCUAGUUCUGUGCAUAUAUUUACAUAGAAAUGUGCAAUUUUUUUUAAAAGGGGCCUUCCUGGUGUUUCUUUACUUAUGGGUUUAAUUUUUUAUCUCCUCAAUGUCCACCAGGAGGGCUCUGUUAAUAUUUACGUCGUGGGCCUUCCUGAGGAUGAGUUCAUUUCAGUCAUUGCUAAUCAACAGCCUUACUAUGAUGUCUUCUUUAUCCUGUAACAUUCCUAUUAUCCCUAACUCUUCAAAAAUACUCUUAGGAUAUUUUAGCAAGUGCCCUCUUCACCUUUUAAAGAGUUGUCUCCAGAUUGUUCAUAUUUGAAUAGCAUUUUAAAAACAAAUAUCAAUUGCC
ensembl:lncRNA